AGAGUUUGAUCCUGGCUCAGGAUGAACGCUGGCGGUAUGCUUAACACAUGCAAGUCGAACGGAAUCUUUCGGGAUUUAGUGGCGGACGGGUGAGUAACGCGUGAGAAUCUGCCUUCAGGUUCGGGACAACAGUUGGAAACGGCUGCUAAUACCGGAUGUGCCGAGAGGUGAAAGCUUAAGUGCCUGGAGAUGAGCUCGCGUCUGAUUAGCUAGUAGGAGUGGUAACGGCACCCCUAGGCGACGAUCAGUAGCUGGUCUGAGAGGAUGAUCAGCCACACUGGGACUGAGACACGGCCCAGACUCCUACGGGAGGCAGCAGUGGGGAAUUUUCCGCAAUGGGCGCAAGCCUGACGGAGCAAGACCGCGUGAGGGAAGAAGGUCUGUGGAUUGUAAACCUCUUUUGAUCGGGAAGAAGACAGUGACGGUACCCAUCGAAUCAGCCUCCGACUCGCCC
rnacentral:rRNA from 1 species